rnacentral:rRNA from 1 species
GGAACCUGGUUGAUCCUGCCAGUAGUCAUAUGCUCGUUUCAAGGAUUAAGCCAUGCAUGUGUUAGAUCAAGCAAUCUGCUUGACUGUUACUGUGAAUCUGCGAAAGGCUCAUUGAAUCAGUAAUGAUCUCAGCGGUGAAAGGUGCAAUCACCCAAUUGGAUAACCCCGCGAAACGCGAGGCUAAUACAUGAACG